rnacentral:rRNA from 1 species
UUGAUGAACGCUAGCUACAGGCUUAACACAUGCAAGUCGAGGGGCAGCAUUUUAGUUUGCUUGCAAACUGAAGAUGGCGACCGGCGCACGGGUGAGUAACACGUAUCCAACCUGCCGAUAACUCCGGGAUAGCCUUUCGAAAGAAAGAUUAAUACCGGAUAGCAUACGAAUAUCGCAUGAUAUUUUUAUUAAAGAAUUUCGGUUAUCGAUGGGGAUGCGUUCCAUUAGUUUGUUGGCGGGGUAACGGCCCACCAAGACUACGAUGGAUAGGGGUUCUGAGAGGAAGGUCCCCCACAUUGGAACUGAGACACGGUCCAAACUCCUACGGGAGGCAGCAGUGAGGAAUAUUGGUCAAUGGGCGCGAGCCUGAACCAGCCAAGUAGCGUGAAGGAUGAAGGCUCUAUGGGUCGUAAACUUCUUUUAUAUGGGAAUAAAGUUUUCCACGUGUGGAAUUUUGUAUGUACCAUAUGAAUAAGGAUCGGCUAACUCCGUGCCAGCAGCCGCGGUAAUACGGAGGAUCCGAGCGUUAUCCGGAUUUAUUGGGUUUAAAGGGAGCGUAGGUGGAUUGUUAAGUCAGUUGUGAAAGUUUGCGGCUCAACCGUAAAAUUGCAGUUGAAACUGGCAGUCUUGAGUACAGUAGAGGUGGGCGGAAUUCGUGGUGUAGCGGUGAAAUGCUUAGAUAUCACGAAGAACUCCGAUUGCGAAGGCAGCUCACUAGACUGUCACUGACACUGAUGCUCGAAAGUGUGGGUAUCAAACAGGAUUAGAUACCCUGGUAGUCCACACAGUAAACGAUGAAUACUCGCUGUUUGCGAUAUACAGUAAGCGGCCAAGCGAAAGCAUUAAGUAUUCCACCUGGGGAGUACGCCGGCAACGGUGAAACUCAAAGGAAUUGACGGGGGCCCGCACAAGCGGAGGAACAUGUGGUUUAAUUCGAUGAUACGCGAGGAACCUUACCCGGGCUUAAAUUGCAACAGAAUAUAUUGGAAACAGUAUAGCCGUAAGGCUGUUGUGAAGGUGCUGCAUGGUUGUCGUCAGCUCGUGCCGUGAGGUGUCGGCUUAAGUGCCAUAACGAGCGCAACCCUUAUCUUUAGUUACUAACAGGUUAUGCUGAGGACUCUAGAGAGACUGCCGUCGUAAGAUGUGAGGAAGGUGGGGAUGACGUCAAAUCAGCACGGCCCUUACGUCCGGGGCUACACACGUGUUACAAUGGGGGGUACAGAAGGCGGCUACCUGGUGACAGGAUGCUAAUCCCAAAAACCUCUCUCAGUUCGGAUCGAAGUCUGCAACCCGACUUCGUGAAGCUGGAUUCGCUAGUAAUCGCGCAUCAGCCAUGGCGCGGUGAAUACGUUCCCGGGCCUUGUACACACCGCCCGUCAAGCCAUGAAAGCCGGGGGUACCUGAAGUACGUAACCGCAAGGAGCGUCCUAGGGU